UUAAGUGACUAAGCGUACAAGGUGGAUGCCUUGGCAAUCAGAGGCGAAGAAGGACGUGCUAAUCUGCGAAAAGCUUGGAUGAGUCGAUAAGAGGCGUUUAAUCCAAGAUGUCCGAAUGGGGAAACCCAGUAGAUGAAGAAUCUACUAUCACUUACUGAAUCCAUAGGUAAGUGAGGCAAACCGGGAGAACUGAAACAUCUAAGUACCCCGAGGAAAAGAAAUCAACCGAGAUUUCGUUAGUAGCGGCGAGCGAACGCGAAGGAGCCUGUUAGUGAUAAUGACAGAGACAGAGGAACAAGCUGGGAAGCUUGGCGAUACAGGGUGAUAGCCCCGUACUCGAAGUCCAGGUCAUGGUACUAAGCUAACGACAAGUAGGGCGGGACACGUGAUAUCCUGUUUGAAGAUGGGGGGACCAUCCUCCAAGGCUAAAUACUCCUGAUUGACCGAUAGUGAACCAGUACUGUGAAGGAAAGGCGAAAAGAACCCCGGUGAGGGGAGUGAAAUAGAACCUGAAACCUUGUACGUACAAGCAGUGGGAGCCCUUUAAGGGUGACUGCGUACCUUUUGUAUAAUGGGUCAGCGACUUAUAUUUUGUAGCGAGGUUAACCGAAUAGGGGAGCCGAAGGGAAACCGAGUCUUAACUGGGCGUCUAGUUGCAAGGUAUAGACCCGAAACCCGGUGAUCUAGCCAUGGGCAGGUUGAAGGUUGGGUAACACUAACUGGAGGACCGAACCGACUAAUGUUGAAAAAUUAGCGGAUGACUUGUGGCUGGGGGUGAAAGGCCAAUCAAACCGGGAGAUAGCUGGUUCUCCCCGAAAUCUAUUUAGGUAGAGCCUUGAGCGGACACCUUCGGGGGUAGAGCACUGUUUCGGCUAGGGGUCCAUCCCGGAUUACCAACCCGAUGCAAACUACGAAUACCGAAGAGUGAUACUCAGGAGACACACGGCGGGUGCUAACGUCCGUCGUGGAGAGGGAAACAACCCAGACCGCCAGCUAAGGUCCCAAAGUCUAUAUUAAGUGGGAAACGAAGUGGGAAGGCUUAGACAGCUAGGAUGUUGGCUUAGAAGCAGCCAUCAUUUAAAGAAAGCGUAAUAGCUCACUAGUCGAGUCGGCCUGCGCGGAAGAUGUAACGGGGCUCAAAUAUAGCACCGAAGCUGCGGCAUCAGUAGCAAUACUGUUGGGUAGGGGAGCGUUCUGUAAGCGGAUGAAGGUUAAUCGAGAGGUUAGCUGGACGUAUCAGAAGUGCGAAUGCUGACAUAAGUAACGAUAAAACGGGUGAAAAACCCGUUCGCCGGAAGACCAAGGGUUCCUGUCCAACGUUAAUCGGGGCAGGGUGAGUCGGCCCCUAAGGCGAGGCUGAAAAGCGUAGUCGAUGGGAAACGGGUUAAUAUUCCCGUACUUGGAUAAACUGCGAUGUGGGGACGGAGCAGGUUAGGUUAUCGCACUGUUGGAUAUGUGCGUUUAAGUUUGUAGGUGUGAAGUUUAGGCAAAUCCGGACUUCUUUAACACUGAGAGAUGAUGACGAGGCUCUACGGAGCUGAAGUAACCGAUACCACACUUCCAGGAAAAGCCACUAAGCUUCAGGUUUAUCUAAACCGUACUGAAAACCGACACAGGUGGUCAGGUAGAGAAUACUCAGGCGCUUGAGAGAACUCGGGUGAAGGAACUAGGCAAAAUAGCACCGUAACUUCGGGAGAAGGUGCGCCGGCGUAGAUUGUAAGGGCUUGCCCCUGAAGGUUGAACCGGUCGAAGAUACCAGCUGGCUGCAACUGUUUAUUAAAAACACAGCACUCUGCAAACACGAAAGUGGACGUAUAGGGUGUGAUGCCUGCCCGGUGCUGGAAGGUUAAUUGAUGGUGUAAUCGAAAGAGAAGCUCCUGAUCGAAGCCCCAGUAAACGGCGGCCGUAACUAUAACGGUCCUAAGGUAGCGAAAUUCCUUGUCGGGUAAG
rnacentral:rRNA from 1 species